rnacentral:rRNA from 1 species
CUACGGAGGGUGCGAGCGUUAAUCGGAAUUACUGGGCGUAAAGCGUGCGUAGGCGGAUUAUUAAGCAAGAUGUGAAAGCCCAGGGCUCAACCUUGGAACUGCAUUUUGAACUGGUAGUCUAGAGUACUGUAGAGGGUGGUGGAAUUUCCAGUGUAGCGGUGAAAUGCGUAGAGAUUGGAGGGAACAUCAGUGGCGAAGGCGGCCACCUGGACAGAUACUGACGCUGAGGCACGAAAGCGUGGGGAGCGAACAGGAUUAGAAACCCCAGUAGUCC